GUGAAGUCAUUGAUGCCAUGCUUCCAGGAAAAGCCUCUAAGCUUCAGAUUGUAAGGAAUCGUACCCCAAACCGACACAGGUGGUCGGGUAGAGAAUACCAAGGCGCUUGAGAGAACUCGGGUGAAGGAACUAGGCAAAAUGGUACCGUAACUUCGGGAGAAGGUACGCUCUCGACGGUGAAGUCCCUCGCGGAUGGAGCUAUUGAGAGUCGCAGAUACCAGGUGGCUGCAACUGUUUAUUAAAAACACAGCACUGUGCAAAAUCGCAAGAUGACGUAUACGGUGUGACGCCUGCCCGGUGCCGGAAGGUUAAUUGAUGGGGUUAGACUUCGGUCGAAGCUCUUGAUCGAAGCCCCGGUAAACGGCGGCCGUAACUAUAACGGUCCUAAGGUAGCGAAAUUCCUUGUCGGGUAAGUUCCGACCUGCACGAAUGGCGUAAUGAUGGCCACGCUGUCUCCACCCGAGACUCAGUGAAAUUGAAAUCGCUGUGAAGAUGCAGUGUACCCGCGGCUAGACGGAAAGACCCCGUGAACCUUUACUACAGCUUGGCACUGAACAUUGACCCUACAUGUGUAGGAUAGGUGGGAGGCUUUGAAGCGCAGUCGCUAGAUUGCGUGGAGCCGUCCUUGAAAUACCACCCUUGUAGUGUUGAUGUUCUAACGUCGACCCCUUAUCGGGGUUGCGGACAGUGCCUGGUGGGUAGUUUGACUGGGGCGGUCUCCUCCCAAAGCGUAACGGAGGAGCACGAAGGUGGGCUAAUCACGGUUGGACAUCGUGAGGUUAGUGCAAUGGCAUAAGCCCGCUUGACUGCGAGAAUGACAAUUCGAGCAGGUGCGAAAGCAGGUCAUAGUGAUCCGGUGGUUCUGAAUGGAAGGGCCAUCGCUCAACGGAUAAAAGGUACUCCGGGGAUAACAGGCUGAUACCGCCCAAGAGUUCAUAUCGACGGCGGUGUUUGGCACCUCGAUGUCGGCUCAUCACAUCCUGGGGCUGAAGUCGGUCCCAAGGGUAUGGCUGUUCGCCAUUUAAAGUGGUACGCGAGCUGGGUUUAGAACGUCGUGAGACAGUUCGGUCCCUAUCUGCCGUGGGCGUUGGAGAAUUGAAAGGGGCUGCUCCUAGUACGAGAGGACCGGAGUGGACGAACCUCUGGUGUUCGGGUUGUGUCGCCAGACGCAUUGCCCGGUAGCUAAGUUCGGGAUCGAUAACCGCUGAAAGCAUCUAAGCGGGAAGCGAGCCUUGAGAUGAGUUCUCCCUGAUACUUUAAGUAUCCUAAAGGGUUGUCGUAGACUACGACGUUGAUAGGCAGGGUGUGUAAGCGUUGUGAGGCGUUGAGCUAACCUGUACUAAUUGCCCGUGAGGCUUAACCAUACAACACCCAAGGGGUUU
rnacentral:rRNA from 1 species